rnacentral:rRNA from 1 species
AAAUUGAAGAGUUUGAUCAUGGCUCAGAUUGAACGCUGGCGGCAGGCCUAACACAUGCAAGUCGAGCGGAAACGAGUUAUCUGAACCUUCGGGGAACGAUAACGGCGUCGAGCGGCGGACGGGUGAGUAAUGCCUAGGAAAUUGCCCUGAUGUGGGGGAUAACCAUUGGAAACGAUGGCUAAUACCGCAUGAUGCCUACG